rfam:Azospirillum brasilense Sp245 plasmid AZOBR_p1 complete genome
UCCGGAUUAGCUCAGUCGGUAGAGCAGCGGACUGUUAAUCCGCGUGUCGCUGGUUCGAGUCCAGCAUCCGGAG